AACCUCCCAGGAUUUUGUUUGAAGAGAGACUAAUUAAUGUUCUGCCAGCUUCAGAGACAGGAGGGAAAGCAAGCUUGGCAGAGGUACCCAUUCCAUUGUCCCCUUGUUUAGUAGCUGGUGAUUGGAAGACACUUUGCAACAAUG